rnacentral:tRNA from 1 species
GGUUGUGGCUCAGAGGUAGAGCACUUGCCUACCAUGCGUCAGGCACUGGGUUUGAUCCUCAGCACCA